rnacentral:rRNA from 1 species
CAGUAGCCGCGGGAAUACGUAGGUGGCAAGCGUUGUCCGGAAUUAUUGGGCGUAAAGGGCUCGCAGGCGGUUUCUUAAGUCUGAUGUGAAAGCCCCCGGCUCAACCGGGGAGGGUCAUUGGAGACUGGGAAACUUGAGUGCAGAAGAGGAGAGUGGAAUUCCACGUGUAGCGGUGAAAUGCGUAGAGAUGUGGAGGAACACCAGUGGCGAAGGCGACUCUCUGGUCUGUAACUGACGCUGAGGAGCGAAAGCGUGGGGAGCGAACAGGAUUAGAUACCCCCGUAGUCCCUGUCUCUUAUAC